rnacentral:rRNA from 1 species
UUUAUUUGAUAGCACCUUACUACAUGGAUAACUGUGGUAAUUCUAGAGCUAAAACAUGCUAAAAAUCCCGACUUCGGAAGGGAUGUGUUUAUUAGAUUAAAAACCAAUGCCCUUCGGGGCUCCUUGGUGAUUCAUGAUAACCGCUCGAAUCGCACGGCCUUGCGCCGGCGAUGGUUCAUUCAAAUUUCUUCCCUAUCAACUUUCGAUGCGAAGGUCUUGUCUUCGCAUGGUUACAACGGGUAACGGAGGGUUAGGGCUCGACCCCGGAGAAGGAGCCUGAGAAACGGCUACUACAUCCAAGGAAGGCAGCAGGCGCGCAAAUUACCCAAUCCCGACACGGGGAGGUAGUGACAAUAAAUACUGAUACAGGGCUCUUUUGGGUCUUGUAAUCGGAAUGAGUACAAUUUAAAUCCCUUAACGAGGAACAAUUGGAGGGCAAGUCUGGUGCCAGCAGCCGCGGUAUUCAGCUCCAAUAGCGUAUAUUAAAGUUGUUGUGGUUAAAAAGCUCGUAGUUGAACCUUGGGCCUGGCUGGCCGGUCCCCCUCACCGGGUGCACUGGUCCGGCCGGGCCUUUCCCUCUGUGGAACCGCAUGCCCUUCACUGGGUGUGCCGGGGAAACAGGACUUUUACUUUGAAAAAAUUAGAGUGCUCCAGGCAGGCCUAUGCUCGAAUACAUUAGCAUGGAAUAAUGGAAUAGGACGUGUGGUUCUAUUUUGUUGGUUUCUAGGACCGCCGUAAUGAUUAAUAGGGACAGUCGGGGGCAUCAGUAUUCAAUUGUCAGAGGUGAAAUUCUUGGAUCUAUUGAAGACUAACUACUGCGAAAGCAUUUGCCAAGGAUGUUUUCAUUGAUAAGGAACGAAAGUUAGGGGAUCGAAGACGAUCAGAUACCGUCGUAGUCUUAACUAUAAACUAUGCCGACUAGGGAUCGGACGGUGUUUAUACUUGACCCGUUCGGCACCUUUCGAGAAAUCAAAGUGCUUGGGCUCCA